CUUUCUCUAGUAUUUUCUAAUCUAAUCUCACACUUUGGUUUCCUUUCCUUUGCAUCAUGCUUUCUAAUUCCAAUUCCAAUUUUCAGCUCUCUGUUUCUGUCUCUCUUCACUCUCAAUCUUCCUCCUCAAAGCUCUCUAUAUUUAGAUUGAGGAACAGGUUGAAGGGCAUGUUUUUGUGAAAGUCAUUUCCUGUUUGUUUCCUUAUUCUGGUGAAGAAGUUGGAGGAGAUUGAUAUUAACAUCACACAGCUUUUGAAGGAUGGUGAAACAGAAUCUACAGUCCAAGCACUGUUAAUUGAAGCCCCCCAAACAAAUAAAUAACUGCAACACAAAAUUACUGCUAGAAGGUUCACUGUUUGCAAAUUCAGAUCGUACUGAUGCAGAAUGAAUAUAUGGUUGUAACAUGCAAUGGUGUCAGUUGUGUGUGUUGUUCAUUGCAGCUGUUAAUUUUACGUGUGAAAAUUAAGAAUGAAGCUAACGUUGGUAUGUAUGACAAUGAUUGGUGUUUCAGAUACGUGACACCGUUAAAAUCGUAGCAUAAAUAGAAUAAGAGCGAAUUUUUCA